rnacentral:rRNA from 1 species
AUUGAACGCUGGCGGCAUGCCUUACACAUGCAAGUCGAACGGCAGCACGGGAGCAAUCCUGGUGGCGAGUGGCGAACGGGUGAGUAAUAUAUCGGAACGUGCCCAGUCGUGGGGGAUAACGUAGCGAAAGCUACGCUAAUACCGCAUACGAUCUAUGGAUGAAAGCGGGGGAUCGCAAGACCUCGCGCGAUUGGAGCGGCCGGUAUCAGAUUAGGUAGUUGGUGAGGUAAAGGCUCACCAAGCCGACGAUCUGUAGCUGGUCUGAGAGGACGACCAGCCACACUGGGACUGAGACACGGCCCAGACUCCUACGGGAGGCAGCAGUGGGGAAUUUUGGACAAUGGGCGCAAGCCUGAUCCAGCAAUGCCGCGUGCAGGAUGAAGGCCUUCGGGUUGUAAACUGCUUUUGUACGGAACGAAACGGCGAGCUCUAAUACAGUUUGCUAAUGACGGUACCGUAAGAAUAAGCACCGGCUAACUACGUGCCAGCAGCCGCGGUAA